UACGUAGGGUGCGAGCGUUGUCCGGAAUUACUGGGCGUAAAGAGCUCGUAGGUGGUUUGUCGCGUUGUUCGUGAAAACCGGGGGCUUAACCCUCGGCGUGCGGGCGAUACGGGCAGACUUGAGUACUGCAGGGGAGACUGGAAUUCCUGGUGUAGCGGUGGAAUGCGCAGAUAUCAGGAGGAACACCGAUGGCGAAGGCAGGUCUCUGGGCCGAUACUGACGCUGAGGAGCGAAAGCGUGGGGAGCGAACAGG
rnacentral:rRNA from 1 species